rnacentral:antisense_RNA from 1 species
GAUGGGCCACCUGUUUUAAAUCCAGAAGCUGGUGGGAGUUUCAGGUACACUGCAUUUGCUUCUGCUGUCCUAUUGCACUUGGACUUGGUGCAGCUAUGACCUAAUGCAGAAGACAAAGUAUGAAGCUACCAAACUGUCAGGGUCAGAACUAAGCCUGUAUAAUUGAUAGGAACCUUCUGGGUGCAUGGUGAGUGGCUCUUCUGAUAAGAUACAUUUAAAAUGUCCCCUGUUGGUGGCUUCUAAUAUGGGGGCUAAGGAUGUGACCAAGAAUGGCCUGUAAUCCCGAAGCCUGCCAAGAUUGCAUCAUUGAAACAAUGCUUCCUACCAGGUGGAGAGAAAAUGCAGUAUUCUUACCAGAGACGUAAUAGAGGCCAGAGUGCUGAACAACACUGUCCACCAGUUCGAUAGCCCCAUAGGGCUGGGGAAGCCACUAGUAUAUGGAACCUUACUGUACCCUGUUGAGGCUUAAACAUGUAAGUGGCCACUA